AGUGAACGCUGGCGGUAGGCCUAACACAUGCAAGUCGAACGGCAGCACAGUAAGAGCUUGCUCUUACGGGUGGCGAGUGGCGGACGGGUGAGGAAUACAUCGGAAUCUACUUUUUCGUGGGGGAUAACGUAGGGAAACUUACGCUAAUACCGCAUACGACCUACGGGUGGAAGCAGGGGAUCUUCGGACCUUGCGCGAUUGAAUGAGCCGAUGUCGGAUUAGCUAGUUGGCGGGGUAAAGGCCCACCAAGGCGACGAUCCGUAGCUGGUCUGAGAGGAUGAUCAGCCACACUGGAACUGAGACACGGUCCAGACUCCUACGGGAGGCAGCAGUGGGGAAUAUUGGACAAUGGGCGCAAGCCUGAUCCAGCCAUACCGCGUGGGUGAAGAAGGCCUUCGGGUUGUAAAGCCCUUUUGUUGGGAAAGAAAAGCAGCAGGUUAAUACCCCGCUGUUCUGACGGUAGCCAAAGAAUAAGCACCGGCUAACUUCGUG
rnacentral:rRNA from 1 species